rnacentral:rRNA from 1 species
UACGUAGGGUCCGAGCGUUGUCCGGAAUUAUUGGGCGUAAAGGGCGCGUAGGCGGCCUUCUAAGUCGAACGUGAAAUCCCCGGGCUCAACCCGGGAACUGCGUCCGAUACUGGAAGGCUUGAAUCCGGGAGAGGGAUGCGGAAUUCCAGGUGUAGCGGUGAAAUGCGUAGAUAUCUGGAGGAACACCGGUGGCGAAGGCGGCAUCCUGGACCGGUAUUGACGCUGAGGCGCGAAAGCUAGGGGAGCAAACGGG